rnacentral:rRNA from 1 species
GGUCCCGCCUGCCCUGUGACCCCCAGUUUAACGGCCGCGGUAUUUUGACCGUGCAAAGGUAGCGCAAUCACUUGUCCCUUAAAUGAGGACCUGUAUGAAUGGCACAACGAGGGCUUAACUGUCUCCUUUCCCCGGUCAAUGAAAUUGAUCUUCCCGUGCAGAAGCGGGAAUUCUAACAUAAGACGAGAAGACCCUAUGGAGCUUUAGACUCCAGAAUAGACCAUGUCAGCUAUUCCCGUUAAACAUAAUAGCAACUAUUGAGCCUCUAUUCUCUGUCUUUGGUUGGGGCGACCACGGGGAAGAAAAAAUCCCCCAUGUGGACCGGGAGCACCAAUCUCACUCCCACAACCACGAGCCACAGCUCUAAUGCGCAGAACUUCUGACCAUAUAGAUCCGGCAACUAGCCGAUCAACGGACCGAGUUACCCUAGGGAUAACAGCGCAAUCCCCUUUAAGAGUCCCUAUCGACAAGGGGGUUUACGACCUCGAUGUUGGAUCAAGACAUCCUAAUGGUGCAGCCGCUAUUAAGGGUUCGUUUGUUCAACGAUUAAAGUCU